GAAGUAGGUGAACAAGCUGGAAAGCUUGGCGAUACAGGGUGAUAGCCCCGUAACCGACGCUUCAUCGAGCGUGAAAUCGAGUAGGGCGGGACACGUGAUAUCCUGUCUGAAUAUGGGGGGACCAUCCUCCAAGGCUAAAUACUCCUGACUGACCGAUAGUGAACCAGUACCGUGAGGGAAAGGCGAAAAGAACCCCUGUGAGGGGAGUGAAAUAGAACCUGAAACCGUGUACGUACAAGCAGUAGGAGCACCUUCGUGGUGUGACUGCGUACCUUUUGUAUAAUGGGUCAGCGACUUAUAUUCAGUGGCAAGGUUAACCGUAUAGGGGAGCCGUAGCGAAAGCGAGUCUUAACUGGGCGCUCAGUCUCUGGAUAUAGACCCGAAACCGGGUGAUCUAGCCAUGGGCAGGUUGAAGGUUGAGUAACAUCAACUGGAGGACCGAACCGACUAAUGUUGAAAAAUUAGCGGAUGACUUGUGGCUAGGGGUGAAAGGCCAAUCAAACUCGGAGAUAGCUGGUUCUCCCCGAAAGCUAUUUAGGUAGCGCCUCGGACGAAUACUACUGGGGGUAGAGCACUGUUAAGGCUAGGGGGUCAUCCCGACUUACCAACCCUUUGCAAACUCCGAAUACCAGUAAGUACUAUCCGGGAGACACACGGCGGGUGCUAACGUCCGUCGUGGAGAGGGAAACAACCCAGACCGCCAGCUAAGGUCCCAAAGUAUUGCUAAGUGGGAAACGAUGUGGGAAGGCUCAGACAGCUAGGAUGUUGGCUUAGAAGCAGCCAUCAUUUAAAGAAAGCGUAAUAGCUCACUAGUCGAGUCGGCCUGCGCGGAAGAUGUAACGGGGCUAAGCAAUACACCGAAGCUGCGGCAAUGUCUUUUAGACAUUGGGUAGGGGAGCGUUCUGUAAGCCGUUGAAGGUGUGUGGUAACGCAUGCUGGAGGUAUCAGAAGUGCGAAUGCUGACAUGAGUAACGACAAAGGGGGUGAAAAACCUCCUCGCCGGAAGACCAAGGGUUCCUGUCCAACGUUAAUCGGGGCAGGGUGAGUCGACCCCUAAGGUGAGGCCGAAAGGCGUAAUCGAUGGGAAACGGGUUAAUAUUCCCGUACUUCUGACUAUUGCGAUGGGGGGACGGAGAAGGCUAGGUGGGCCAGGCGACGGUUGUCCUGGUUCAAGUGCGUAGGCUUGAGAGUUAGGUAAAUCCGGCUCUCUUUAAGGCUGAGACACGACGUCGAGCUGCUACGGCAGUGAAGUCAUUGAUGCCAUGCUUCCAGGAAAAGCCUCUAAGCUUCAGAUAGUCAGGAAUCGUACCCCAAACCGACACAGGUGGUCGGGUAGAGAAUACCAAGGCGCUUGAGAGAACUCGGGUGAAGGAACUAGGCAAAAUGGUACCGUAACUUCGGGAGAAGGUACGCUCUUGAUGGUGAAGUCCCUCGCGGAUGGAGCUGACGAGAGUCGCAGAUACCAGGUGGCUGCAACUGUUUAUUAAAAACACAGCACUGUGCAAAAUCGCAAGAUGACGUAUACGGUGUGACGCCUGCCCGGUGCCGGAAGGUUAAUUGAUGGGGUUAGCGUAAGCGAAGCUCUUGAUCGAAGCCCCGGUAAACGGCGGCCGUAACUAUAACGGUCCUAAGGUAGCGAAAUUCCUUGUCGGGUAAGUUCCGACCUGCACGAAUGGCGUAAUGAUGGCCACGCUGUCUCCACCCGAGACUCAGUGAAAUUGAAAUCGCUGUGAAGAUGCAGUGUACCCGCGGCUAGACGGAAAGACCCCGUGAACCUUUACUACAGCUUGGCACUGAACAUUGAACCUACAUGUGUAGGAUAGGUGGGAGGCUAUGAAGACGUGACGCCAGUUGCGUUGGAGCCGUCCUUGAAAUACCACCCUUGUAUGUUUGAUGUUCUAACUUAGACCCAUUAUCUGGGUUGAGGACAGUGCCUGGUGGGUAGUUUGACUGGGGCGGUCUCCUCCCAAAGAGUAACGGAGGAGCACGAAGGUGGGCUAAUCACGGUUGGACAUCGUGAGGUUAGUGCAAUGGCAUAAGCCCGCUUAACUGCGAGAAUGACGGUUCGAGCAGGUGCGAAAGCAGGUCAUAGUGAUCCGGUGGUUCUGUAUGGAAGGGCCAUCGCUCAACGGAUAAAAGGUACUCCGGGGAUAACAGGCUGAUACCGCCCAAGAGUUCAUAUCGACGGCGGUGUUUGGCACCUCGAUGUCGGCUCAUCACAUCCUGGGGCUGAAGUCGGUCCCAAGGGUAUGGCUGUUCGCCAUUUAAAGUGGUACGCGAGCUGGGUUUAGAACGUCGUGAGACAGUUCGGUCCCUAUCUGCCGUGGGCGUUGGAAGAUUGAAGGGGGCUGCUCCUAGUACGAGAGGACCGGAGUGGACGAACCUCUGGUGUUCGGGUUGUGUCGCCAGACGCAUUGCCCGGUAGCUAAGUUCGGAAUUGAUAAGCGCUGAAAGCAUCUAAGCGCGAAGCGAGCCCUGAGAUGAGUCUUCCCUGAUACUUUAAGUAUCCUAAAGGGUUGUUCGAGACUAGAACGUUGAUAGGCAGGGUGUGUAAGCGUUGUGAGGCGUUGAGCUAACCUGUACUAAUUGCCCGUGAGGCUUAACCA
rnacentral:rRNA from 1 species